ACUGCAGUCGAGCGACAGAGAAGGAGCUUGCUCCUUUGACGUUAGCGGCGGACGGGUGAGUAACACGUGGGCAACCUACCUUAUAGUUUGGGAUAACUCCGGGAAACCGGGGCUAAUACCGAAUAAUCUGUUCCACCUCAUGGUGGAACACUGAAAGACGGUUUCGGCUGUCGCUAUAAGAUGGGCCCGCGGCGCAUUAGCUAGUUGGUGANGUAACGGCUCACCAAGGCGA
rnacentral:rRNA from 1 species